UGAAGUACUCAUAUAAUCUUGUGAUGCUGUCCCAUUAGCACUCCCAAGUAAAGCAAGGUGAAACUGGGUCAGUACUGGGAUGGGUGAUCUCUAAGGAAAACGGAAGUGCAUCAG
rnacentral:rRNA from 1 species